rnacentral:rRNA from 1 species
AAGGCCUGAGGGUUGUAAAGCACUUUUGUUAGGGAGGAGGGUUGAUUGGUUAAGAGCUGAUUAACUGGACGUUACCUAAAGAAAAAGCACCGGCUAACUCCGUGC